UGCAAACAAAACAUUUAUUGAAAGGAGGUAAGUCAACUCACAGAACAAGGCAUCUUUGCUGGAUCUUUCAGCAUGUGAACUAAUAACUAAAACGCUCUUUGAGGGCUGCUAUAAACAUUCAGGAAUUAAUAGCUGAAAUGAUGUCAAAUGCCACUAAGUAACAGACCAGAGGUGUGGAACUGUUUUGAAGGACUACAGCAGUCAAAAACCCUCCUUAAAGUACCCUUAGUGCAACUUUACAGAAUUUAAGAUGAAUUCUUGUCUUAUGUACUCUUUUCAAGGCAAGACAGUCAUAGUUACUAGGUUAGGACUCAUUCAGUGAAACAAAUGUUAACGUUAUACUCAUCAUUGACAAAGGCAUCUCAAUGGCAGCUAC
rnacentral:lncRNA from 1 species